AACGAACGCUGGCGGCAGGCCUAACACAUGCAAGUCGAACGUGAAGCCACCUUCGGGUGGUGGAAAGUGGCAGACGGGUGAGUAACGCGUGGGAACGUGCCUUUCGGUUCGGAAUAACCCAGGGAAACUUGGGCUAAUACCGGAUACGCCCUUCGGGGGAAAGAUUCAUCGCCGAAAGAUCGGCCCGCGUCGGAUUAGCUAGUUGGUAGGGUAAUGGCCUACCAAGGCGACGAUCCGUAGCUGGUCUGAGAGGAUGACCAGCCACACUGGGACUGAGACACGGCCCAGACUCCUACGGGAGGCAGCAGUGGGGAAUAUUGGACAAUGGGCGAAAGCCUGAUCCAGCCAUGCCGCGUGGGUGAAGAAGGCCUUAGGGUUGUAAACCCCUUUCAGCGGGGAAGAUAAUGACGGUACCCGCAGAAGAAGCCCCGGUAAUCC
rnacentral:rRNA from 1 species